rnacentral:rRNA from 1 species
UACGUAGGGAGCGAGCGUUGUCCGGAUUCAUUGGGCGUAAAGAGCUCGUAGGCGGCUUGGUAAGUCGGAUGUGAAACCUCCAGGCUCAACCUGGAGUCGCCAUCCGAUACUGCCAUGGCUAGAGUCCGGUAGGGGCCCACGGAAUUCCUGGUGUAGCGGUGAAAUGCGCAGAUAUCAGGAGGAACACCGAUGGCGAAGGCAGUUCUCUGGGCAUUACCUGACGCUGAGGAGCGAAAGUGUGGGGAGCGAACAGG